UGGAAGUUUAGCAUCCACGUUAAAAUGGACAAACGACCACCAAAGCGCAAGGGAGGUGCAGAGAAAUUACGGGAGAAAGAGAUUAAUUAUCUACAGGCGGAUGCCUCAAAAUGUGCCAAAAUCUCUGGCAUGUUUGGGGCUGUAGUAGCUUCUUCAACAUCAGCAUUACCUGAAGUAGGUUAAGGAGAGGAGAAGCAGAAUCGAUUUUUUGUCCCAGUCCAGCCCUGUCCCGAUGCACAGGGAGGAGUUUAGGCUCGAAUGUAAACUUGUUGGACUUUAAUCCAUUCGACUCUGUGAGUGACGCGAGGUGUGUGAAUAAUGGCAGGUGAGCUUGCCAGGGUGAGGGGUAAGUUUGUGGACAAGGCGUCCAAAGGACUGAUUAAGCAGCUCCUGGACGACCUUUUAGAUGAUGGUGUCUUGAAUGAUGGUCAGAAAGACUCGAUACUUGAAGAGAACAAUACCACAGCAGACAAGGCACGCAGUCUCAUUGACACAAUAAAGAAGAAAGGAGAUGUAGCCAGCAGGAAGAUGAUCGCUCACCUUUGCAGAAGAGAUCCGACACUUCACUCUGAACUGGGUCUGGGUCAACCUGUUUAGCCACAGUCUCUCAGGAGGAGCAGAACUGGUCAUCCACACUUAUCCUCAUGCUGCUUAUGCAUUACGUGUGGACAGAGAAAAUGAAGAAUGAAGAUGCUUAUCAUUUAUUAUCAUGCAACUGCUAAAGCCAUAUAAGAUGUAUAUAUGUAUAAUGUAAAAAUAUGGUUUUACUCCAGAAAAGUUCCAGUAAGCUGGCUCUCAUUCAUAAAUCCCUUGAUGUCUUACAUUCAAAAUCUAUGCAUUUCAUAUCUAGUAAAUGUGAUAUUUUAAAACCUUUUUUAUUAGCUUCAGAGUGAUGAGGGAGCGAUUGUUGAUCAGUUCAAUUCAGUUUCUCUGUGUACUGUAAAUGACUCAUUACAAAAUGAUAUAUACAUUUUAAGUGUGUUGUUUAAGUGGACCUACCUACCAUGUGACCAUCUGGGAUUAUGGGACAUGUGGCACAUUUUAAAUCAUGCUUGUGUCAUAAAUAAAAUGUUCUUGCAGCUCCUAAGACUA